AGAGUUUGAUCCUGGCUCAGGACGAACGCUGGCGGCGUGCCUAAUACAUGCAAGUAGAACGCUGAAGAGAGGAGCUUGCUCUUCUUGGAUGAGUUGCGAACGGGUGAGUAACGCGUAGGUAACCUGCCUUGUAGCGGGGGAUAACUAUUGGAAACGAUAGCUAAUACCGCAUAACAAUGGAUGACACAUGUCAUUUAUUUGAAAGGGGCAAUUGUUCCACUACAAGAUGGACCUGCGUUGUAUUAGCUAGUAGGUGAGGUAAUGGCUCACCUAGGCGACGAUACAUAGCCGACCUGAGAGGGUGAUCGGCCACACUGGGACUGAGACACGGCCCAGACUCCUACGGGAGGCAGCAGUAGGGAAUCUUCGGCAAUGGGGGCAACCCUGACCGAGCAACGCCACGUGAGUGAAGAAGGUUUUCGGAUCGUAAAGCUCUGUUGUAAGUAAAGAACGGGUGUGAGAGUGGAAAGUUCACACUGUGACGGUAGCUUACCAGAAAGGGACGGCUAACUACGUGCCAGCAGCCGCGGUAAUACGUAGGUCCCGAGCGUUGUCCGGAUUUAUUGGGCGUAAAGCGAGCGCAGGCGGUUUGAUAAGUCUGAAGUUAAAGGCUGUGGCUCAACCAUAGUUCGCUUUGGAAACUGUCAAACUUGAGUGCAGAAGGGGAGAGUGGAAUUCCAUGUGUAGCGGUGAAAUGCGUAGAUAUAUGGAGGAACACCGGUGGCGAAAGCGGCUCUCUGGUCUGUAACUGACGCUGAGGCUCGAAAGCGUGGGGAGCGAACAGGAUUAGAUACCCUGGUAGUCCACGCCGUAAACGAUGAGUGCUAGGUGUUGGAUCCUUUCCGGGAUUCAGUGCCGCAGCUAACGCAUUAAGCACUCCGCCUGGGGAGUACGACCGCAAGGUUGAAACUCAAAGGAAUUGACGGGGGCCCGCACAAGCGGUGGAGCAUGUGGUUUAAUUCGAAGCAACGCGAAGAACCUUACCAGGUCUUGACAUCCCGAUGCUAUUUCUAGAGAUAGAAAGUUACUUCGGUACAUCGGUGACAGGUGGUGCAUGGUUGUCGUCAGCUCGUGUCGUGAGAUGUUGGGUUAAGUCCCGCAACGAGCGCAACCCCUAUUGUUAGUUGCCAUCAUUCAGUUGGGCACUCUAGCGAGACUGCCGGUAAUAAACCGGAGGAAGGUGGGGAUGACGUCAAAUCAUCAUGCCCCUUAUGACCUGGGCUACACACGUGCUACAAUGGUUGGUACAACGAGUUGCGAGUCGGUGACGGCGAGCUAAUCUCUUAAAGCCAAUCUCAGUUCGGAUUGUAGGCUGCAACUCGCCUACAUGAAGUCGGAAUCGCUAGUAAUCGCGGAUCAGCACGCCGCGGUGAAUACGUUCCCGGGCCUUGUACACACCGCCCGUCACACCACGAGAGUUUGUAACACCCGAAGUCGGUGAGGUAACCUUUUGGAGCCAGCCGCCUAAGGUGGGACAGAUGAUUGGGGUGAAGUCGUAACAAGGUA
rnacentral:rRNA from 1 species